rnacentral:rRNA from 1 species
UACGUAGGGGGCAAGCGUUGUCCGGAUUUAUUGGGCGUAAAGAGCGUGUAGGCGGCCUGAAAGGUCAGCUGUGAAAACUCGAGGCUCAACCUCGAGACGUCGGUUGAAACCAUCUGGCUAGAGUCCGGAAGAGGAGUGUGGAAUUCCCGGUGUAGCGGUGAAAUGCGCAGAUAUCGGGAAGAACACCAGUGGCGAAGGCGGCCCGCUGGGCAGUGGCUGACGCUGAGGCGCGACAGCGUGGGGAGCAAACAGG